rnacentral:rRNA from 1 species
UACGUAGGUGGCAAGCGUUAUCCGGAUUUAUUGGGCGUAAAGCGAGCGCAGGCGGUCUUUUAAGUCUGAUGUGAAAGCCUUCGGCUUAACCGGAGUAGUGCAUUGGAAACUGGGAGACUUGAGUGCAGAAGAGGAGAGUGGAACUCCAUGUGUAGCGGUGAAAUGCGUAGAUAUUAGGAGGAACACCAGUGGCGAAGGCAGCCUCCUGGGACGCAACUGACGCUCAUACACGAAAGCGUGGGGAGCAAACAGG